GAUGAAGAACUAAGCGAAAUGCGAUAAGUAAUGUGAAUUGCAGAAUCCAGUGAAUCAUCGAAUCUUUGAACGCACAUUGCGCCCGCCAGCAUUCUGGCGGGCAUGCCUGUUCGAGCGUCAUUUCAACCCUCGACCUCCCUUUGGGGAAGUCGGCGUUGGGGACCGGCAGCACACCGCCGGCCCUGAAAUGGAGUGGCGGCCCGUCCGCGGCGACCUCUGCGUAGUAAUCCAACUCGCACCGGAACCCCGACGCGGCCACGCCGUAAAACACCCAACUUCUGAACGUUGACCUCGAAUCAGGUAGGACUACCCGCUGAACUUAAGCAUAUCAAUAAGCGGAGGA
rnacentral:misc_RNA from 1 species